AACUUCCCACAUAACUCAUCCAUUUGACCAGUUUCCUAUCUAACACUCCAGAGCAGAGGAAGGAACAAUCUUAGUAUUUGGAGGGACCAAACAUUCACUCAGGGUUUAUCCUGACCCACCUGCAGCCUUCUGCUCACACACACACACACAUUAAAUCACAGGAAAAGACAUUCAAAUGCUUUAAUUCAGAUUUUAACUUAUGACAAUAAUCUUACAGAGAAUGUGGGAACAGAAAAAUGACAUAUAUGGUUUAUAUAAUAUGGUCUGGGGGAAACCUGUUGGGACCUCAAAAAAUGAGAACCAUGCUGAAGGUUCUCAAAUCUAGACAAAAGAAAUGUAUUUACCAGAGUAAAUAGGCAGAAAAGCUUGCCCCAGCUUCUAAUGGCCGAGGCUGUAUAUAGUAACUAUUCAGUAGGUGCCCUCGCUGAUUCUCUUCUUUCCUGGGAGAGGGGAAAAAAAAACAAUACAAACAUCAGGUUCCUAAAGUUGACAUACCAAAAGCCUUAGGAAUUUAAAUUUUUGUUUCCUGCAUGGUUUGUCUCCUCAGUCAUGGUCCAUGGGACUCUGAGAAGUCGUAGGAAUAUGCAGGCGCAGACUCAAAAGCCCAGCUUCAUCUCCAACAUUGUGGAAAGGGACUGUACAUCACCGGGCAAUGCCCUAAGCUCCCGUUCGCCACUAGGACAGAGCCUGGGGAGAGUGACCUCCUGGGAUAUCCACGUUGGAAUGUCUGGUUAGCACCCAAACGUUUCGUCAACCUCAACAGGCGACUACACCCCCCCCCCACACACACAGUGUAUAUCACUAAUAACACACACAGUGUAUAUCACUAAUAACGUACACAUGGAGCAGAAAGCACAGGACAAGCACUAAGCUAGCCUCAGAGUGAACGUACCUCCAUCAACAAAGUACCUGAAAUCAUUGACCGGGUCUGCAAGAGAAGACUUUAAUCAUAAUGGUCCACAGGACUCUGAGAAGUCGUAGGAAUAUGCAGGCGCAGACUCGAAAGCCCAGCUUUAUCUCCAACGUUGUGGAAAGGGACUGUACAUCACCGGGCAAUGCCCUAAGCUCCCGCUCGCCACUAGGACAGAGCCCGGGGAGAGUGACCUCCCGGGAUAUCCACGUCGGAUAGUCAUGGUAAUGUCUUUCUCUUUUUUGACAAAAUGCCACAGGGUCCUUUUGCCAGACCUCCAGCUGGAGGAAAAACCCCAAAAACGCCUGUCUCCAGAGUGCUGUGACUACAGACUUCAGCCACCUUUUCAGAUCUUGAAGCAAACAGAACACAACACCCCCAUCGGAACCAAACUAUCCAGAAAUUAUUUACCUAAAAAAGGGUCCUCUGAAAAAUGGGAGAUUAAUGAACAAAAAACUGCAGAAAUCCCGUUACAAGGUGAAGAGAAAGUAUAACUGGGAAGCAAGGCGAAAUGAUUAAGUUAAAACCGAACGCUGGAAGGCGGCUAACACUUCAAAUCUCAAGGCAGGAACCAAAGACCCUGUCCUCUUAAGCAAAGUGAACAUUAAAAAGGAAAGUGCGUAGACC
rnacentral:lncRNA from 1 species